GACAUACUAAGAACUUUCCAGAGAUGGAUUGGUGCCUUCGGGAACUUAGAUACAGGUGCUGCAUGGCUGUCGUCAGCUCGUGUCGUGAGAUGUUGGGUUAAGUCCCGCAACGAGCGCAACCCUUUUCCUUAUUUGCCAGCGGGUCAUGCCGGGAACUUUAAGGAUACUGCCAGUGACAAACUGGAGGAAGGCGGGGACGACGUCAAGUCAUCAUGGCCCUUACGGCCAGGGCUACACACGUGCUACAAUGGUCGGUACAAAGGGUUGCUACCUCGCGAGAGGAUGCUAAUCUCAAAAAGCCGAUCGUAGUCCGGAUCGCAGUCUGCAACUCGACUGCGUGAAGUCGGAAUCGCUAGUAAUCGCGGAUCAGAAUGCCGCGGUGAAUACGUUCCCGGGCCUUGUACACACCGCCCGUCACACCAUGGGAGUUUGUUGCAUCAGAAGUAGGUAGUCUAACCGCAAGGAGGACGCUUACCACGGUGUGGCCGAUGACUGGGGUGAAGUCGUAACAAGGUAAGCGUAGAUGA
rnacentral:rRNA from 1 species